rnacentral:lncRNA from 1 species
AGAGAAAAGAAAUAUAACACAUUAGUUUUUAGCCAAUAAUAACAUUAUUUAUUACUCAUUACUAUGAUAUAAUUUUUUUUUUCAUUCUAAAAUGAAGUUUUCAGUGGAGUUUAAAUGGUACAAAGACCAACAAUAACAAAAUGUUGAGUAAUCCUUUCCUAUACAAUAGAAAAACAUAAAUGAUAAAGGAAAUUAAAGAAUACAAUACAAAAAUCUUCUCAUAAAGCUUGCAUUUGACACUACAAAUUCAUCAAAACCUUCUUCGGCUAUACUUGUAAACCUAACAUUCGUCUUCACUCGCAGUCUUUUAAGAAGCUAAGAAAAGCACGACACUAAAAGAAAGAAAAAAAAUCCACAAGAACAGAUGUCUCCACGUAUUCUAUGAAGUGCUUAACCCAUGCCUCAUAAUUUCAAAGAGUCAGCAACAACAUUAUAUAUUAAUCUUAGAAUCAAAGAGUCAACAUCUUAAAACUUAAUAACAACAUUUACUAAGUAAAAUAUAAAAUUUCUAUAGAAUGAAACUUAUGAUAAAGUGUGAAUUACCCCCCUUGAUUGUCAAUGCUUCUAGAUUCUUUAUUUUUUUUUUAUAUUCAUGAGGGCUUAAAGCCCGGAAAUAAGGAAGAUUACAAAGAGAUCAAUCUUGUGAUUCUUCAAUAUUUUACACAAUCAUAAAAGACAAAUAUUUCAAUACAUUUAGCCAAUAUCUCUCAGCAUAGGUUUUGUUACAAUUCAAAUUUGAAACUGAAGUUUGAUAAAGAACCAAGCAUAUAAGAAAGUUGAGAUAUGUAGUUUAGUUUGAUCAUAUUUGAAAUUACGGUUUGAUCAAGAACCAAGCAUUAUGACAAAGAAGAAGACAUGAUUUUGUAAAAUUGUAAAUUUUAAAAGCGACUAUUGAUUUAGGAUAUCUCCCAAAGCAGAAGUAUGAAAGUUUAAGGCAAAAUUACACCUGAGGUCCUUUAUCUUAUUUAUUUGUAACGGAUUGGUCCUUUAUCUUUUUUUUGUCCCAUACAAGUCCUUUAUCUUUAUAAUUGGUCCUUUUUUACAUUUUUUAUUGAAAAUAUGAUGAAGUGGCAAGCCACAUAGGAUAAUUUGAUUUUUUUUUUUAUUGAAAAUUUUAAAAACCAAAAAAUCAUAUGAACAUUCAUCAUGUUCACAUAUGAACAUUCAUCAUGUUCAUCUCAUCUCCUUCAACAUCUUUUUUUUUUUUUUGAACAAAUCUUCUUCAUUACCCAAUAACAAAAUACAUCCACACCCUCCUCAAAAUUCCAUAAACUUAUGUGUUUUGUUUAUCUCAAUCUUCUUCUAAACUCUAAAAUUGAAAUCCUCAAUUCUCAUAAACCCUAAAUUUACCAAAUAAAAAAUAUGAUAUGAUAAAUAUGAUUUUAAAAUUCCAGUUUGCUUUUAACAAAUUAGAAACACGGAAGAGAUUUUAAAACCUGUAAAAAAUGUUGUCUUCGGCUAUAUUGGGGAAUUGGUGUGUUGAACUCAUUUGAAUUAAUAGAGAUUUUAAGUAAUUCUUUGACCCUGAAGAGCAAACUUGACUGGGGCAUCAUCAAUUAUAGGAGGCACAUACAUAUUAGAAGUUGUGAUGUUGACGCACUUGCACAGUUGCACUUGCUUUCAAUUUCGAACAAUUUGUGGCUUUUAAUAAUCCAAAAUUCGUGAUACAUCUUGAGUUAGUUGUGGAUUUUUUUAUUUGAUAAAUUUAGGGUUUAUAAGAAUUGGGGAUUUCAAUUUUAGAGUUUGGAAGAAGAUUGAGGUAAACAAAACACAUAAGUCUAUGGAAUUUUGAGGUGUAUUUGAAUGUAUUUUGUUAUUGGGUAAUGGAGAAGAUGAUAAAGAUGAUGAAGGAGAUGAUGAACAUGAUGAAUGUUCUAUGAUUUUUUGGUUUUUAAAAUUUUCAAUAAAAAAAAAA